UCCGGUUUAUCACCGGCAGUCUCCCAUGAGUCCCCACCACCCAAACGGGCGUGCUGGCAACAUGGAACAAGGGUUGCGCUCGUUGCGGGACUUAACCCAACAUCUCACGACACGAGCUGACGACAGCCAUGCACCACCUGUACACCUGCCCCGAAGGGCUGCCGUAUUUCUACGGCAUUCAGGUGCAUGUCAAGCCCUGGUAAGGUUCUUCGCGUUGCGUCGAAUUAAACCACAUGCUCCGCUGCUUGUGCGGGCCCCCGUCAAUUCCUUGGAGUUUUAGCCUUGCGGCCGUACUCCCCAGGCGGGGCGCUUAAUGCGUUAGCUUCGGCACGGACGGAGUCGACACCGCCCACACCUAGCGCCCAUCGUUUACGGCGUGGACUAC
rnacentral:misc_RNA from 1 species